GGGGCGGGGAGCCGGACGUGCCCUGCGGUGGGGCACGGGGCGCGGGGACGCGUGGGGCCGGGGCUGGUUCAGGAGUGAGGGGUUGGGUGUGGGGUACGGGGGUGAAAAGCUGGUUCAAGGGUGAGGGGCUGGUUUGAGUGAGGUGUUGGGUGUGGGGUACGGGGGUGAAAGGCUGGUUCAAGGGUGAGGGGCUGGUUUGCGAGGGGAGUUCGUUUGGACCGUGGGGAUCGGGCUGGGUUGGGGUACGGAGGGGAGUGUGCUGCAGCCACGUCAGGGAUGGGCAUGAGGGACAGUGCAAGGGAGAGAGUAGAGGACACAGCAGUGGCUUGGUGGCCCGGGUCAGGUUGCCCAAAGGAGCGCUUGAGGGAAAUAGGGAGGUGGGUACGAGAAGCAGGUUCGGGCACUCAAACGGGGUGGGAGGCUGAGCAGGGUCCAGGGGUGAGUGAGGGCAGUAGGGUCGGGGUGACAUUAAAGGUGAGGGGCGGGACCAGGUGAGGUGAAAGGUGACCGGCAGAUGGAAGUGACACUAAAGGUGAGUGGCAGGUCAAGGGAAUGGUGAGGGGCACGCAGGUGAUGGUAAAGGUGAGUGGCAGUCCAGGUGAUGAUAAAGGCGAGGGAUAGGUGUAGGUGAUGGUAAGGAUGCAGGUGUUAGGGCAGGAUAGGAGCGUGUUGAGGGGACAAUAGGGGCUGGGUCUCUGGGCAGUGAGGGUGUGAGUGUGGGGCUGAUUAAGGGGAAUGUGGGUGAAAAGGGAUGGGCAGUAGUCCUGCAAGGGGACAAAAGGGGUUUGGAUGCAGAGGGAGAGGUGGGUGUGCGAGAACAGGCUUGAAGGGUAAUGGCAGCAUGGGUGUGAUGGGGUGACAGUGUGGUAGGCUUGGUCUGGAGGUCCUUGGAGGAGGUGAGUGGUUGGGCUUCCUGCUGGAGCUCUCAGAGCAAUGGAAUAUAGAUGUUUAGUGCCACAGUUGGUAAAUACAGGAUGUUUGUUUUGCAGAGGCACAUCUAAGGGGGCUGAAUUUUUGGUGUUGGUUGGCUGGGGUUGCACAUGCUUAACUGGUGAUCAGUUGUGAUUCUAAGGGGCUGUGUAGGAGCAGUGGUUGUAGGGCACUGGAUCACUGGGGAUCUGGGCGUGAUGGAUUGCACAGCCAGGAAAAUGUUUGGUUUAAGUUUUGGUAGGUCCAGACAGAAAGUAAAGUUGGAGGGGAGUGGGUAGGGGGAUAGUUUUUGGCAGUAGGGUUACAUUUGGGAACUGAUAAAUGGAAGUGUAAGGAUGGUGGGUGAAUGGGGAUAGCUUUGCGCGUGGAUGUGGCUGGAGCUGGAAGCUGAUGGGAGCAGUGAGGAGCAGGUGGACAGAGGAGGACAGCGUGGGUGUGGGGCCAGUUCCUGGGCGGGGAGAAGGACUAAUGUGUACAUGGGACUAGAUCACACUUAGAACAGGUUGGAGGAGAAGGAUGUGCAAGUGGGUGUUAGGGCUGUGGGGAGACUCUAGAGGUGUUUGGAGGGGGUUAAGGAAGCUCCUCUUGUUGGCAGAUCAGCAGGUGCUGGUUUUGGUUAAAGGUUCUUUCAGGAGAGGUAUGUGCAGGGAAGAGAAGCAGUAUUCUUAUGGGAGUAGCUGGCAUUUGGAAGGCUCAUCUUCUGGAGCUGUAAUUCUGCUGGCUCUUUGGGAGGGGCAGUGGUAGUAGCAGCUUGGUGGAAAAAAGCUCCUGGGCUUGUGGGGAGGCAAGACUGGGCAGUGGGAGGGGAUCGGACAGGAUAGAGGGUAUUGGGAGGGUCCUUUUUUUGGAGGAGAAAAAGGCUCAAGGAGGGCUCUGGGCAGGGGGAUGGAAUCCCCUGGCUCUGCACUGGUCCAGGACAUGUGCAAAUGACUGUGUGUGGGAAUGAGGAGUGUCUGCACAGGACAAUGAUUUUUGGGCUAUAUGCUGAUAGAAAGUGCGUUUCUGCAGUGCUAGGGGCAGUUCUUUUAGUGCUGGGUUACUUGGCUGGGUUGUGUGCCUGAGGUGUAUCCCACUGGAUGAGAAAAUGCGAAUAGGCUGAACAUGCUCCCUGGCUUCUGUAUUAUGGCAAGGAUUUCUGUAAGAUGGUUACUUGCCUUGGAUUCGUCAGCUGUGGCAGUGAGAGAGCCAGUGUGUGUGUCUGCAUGUCUGCAUGCAUUAGGUGAAUUCCCUGGCAGGGCUGAUUCCUGGAAAAGAAGGAAGUAAAGAAAGGCAGUGACUGCUUUAUUGGGGAGCUACUGAAGGUACCAAGCACCCUUUGGUGAUGUUCCUUAUGGAUGGGAGAGGAGGGUAACUGUCUAUAUAACCUGAAGGCAUGAAAGAAAAAUACUUUAAUUUUUUUAUUCAUAUUUAUUGGCAGUCUGUAGAUGAGUGUGUAUUGUAAACAGUUUGAAAGGAGUUUUGUAUGGAAACGAUUCCAGGCUAGGCAAGCCCUGGAAGUCCAAACUGUGGUAGGCACAUUCUUCUUUCUCUUAAGAUUUUUUCAUAGAGGAGUACAGAGGAAAGAAAGAGAAAACUAUUUCUGCUCCUUGUUUUCCUAUGUAGAAUGUGUUUAGAAAUUUGUUUACCUGGGGAGAUUGCUUGAUUGGAUUCUGGUGAGGAUUGUUUGAGCCUGAUGGCCAAUACAAUCCACCUGUGGCUGGACUUGAGCGAGAAAGUCAUGAGUUGUGAGGGAGUGAAAUAUAGUAGUUAGAAAAAGUAAGUAUGUAGUUUUAGUAUCUCCUUUAAAUAAUAUAUGAAUGUAUUAUAGUAUAGUUAUAAUAAAUAAUCAUUCAGCCUUCUGAACUAGAGUCAGAUAUCAGCAUUUCUUCCCACUGGGUUCGCCUACAUUUACAAUUCAAAUGUAGCUUUUAAAUGUCUUUUUUGCCACUGUCAUGACAAGCAUUUUCUUUUAGCUGGGAGAGUACUUAAAGGAAUAGCCUCAUACCUGUUACUUUCUUGGAGAAACUUAGGAUAUUUGUUAUUUUAAGGGGACUGGAUUUGAGAGGCUUCUUUUCUGAAUGGUAAUGCCAAGUGAAAAAAGAAUUGGUGUAUAUUCACUGCUAAUAGAACCUAAAUUUUUUAUCCUCUUGCCUGUUUUGAUAAAACUUCUUUUUUCUUUCUCAUAUAUAAUUCUAGUCUAAAAGUUUGCCUGAAAAAAUAUAAUAAUUCUUUUCUUUAUAGAUGGUUUAUUUGUCUGUUUAUUAGUUUUAUUAAGGAGUUCAAAUUCCUAGUAAUGUGUUUAAACUUGGAGCUCUGAGAAAUGCAGAGAGGCGGUGUUCAUAGUUUUGCAGUCAUGUGUCUUCUUUCACAUGCCUUGAGUUUGCUCUGUCUCCUGUCAGACUUGGCUCUGCAGGAGGUUUUUGUUUUGUUCACUGUUGUCAAGAGUUUGGCUUUAAAGGACCUAAUGUGUUAUUAGAUGCUAUAGGUACAAAUGGGAAGUAGAAGAGCAGGUGAAAAUUAUUUUCUAACUGCAGUGUAUUCUUUGUGCUUAUCUGCUGGACUGAGAGAUGUAAUUAAAUUUGGCAUCUUAUCUAGAUGUAUGUGAUGACUGUAUUUGUGGCCUUGACUGUUUUCAUUUACAUUGUAAAGAUACACCUUGUGCUUCACUAACCUAAUAAUCUCUCACAUCUUCUUGCAUUCACGGUGGAGGAUGAACAUUGUAGCAUUGAGCUGCAGUCUUCUAAUAUUCCUUUUCCCUUUUUCCCUGGGAAAACUUUUUUUUAGACUGCAGUUAGAUGUAGUAGUAACGCACCCCAGAUCAGUGGUGCUUUUUACAGGUGGAAGGCUGAUUUAGGAAGGACUUGAGGUGACUUUUUUUUAAAAUGUGGAACCAGCCACUUUAGUUGUUCAAAGAUAAACAUCUUGGUGUUAACGGAAGUUGAACCAGAAAACACAGAAUAUGCCUGAUGUGCUUGUGUCUUCUAUUUCAGUACAAACUCCAGAGGGCUCUGGGCUGGCUGGAGGCUGCUGUGGGCUUCGAGCUGCCAUGGUAUGGGCAGGUGAGGAGCUGCUGCUGGGAGGGAUGAGAAAUUCCCUAGUCACAGAGCUGCAGCAGCACCCUGAGAUUACAUUUGGAGCAGUGGGAGCUUGGGAGCUCCAAACUUGAGAGUGAAAUUGGCAGCAUUGAUUAUUGUACAAUCAAAAAGAUGCUGCCUGCUUGGUUAACAGACUCUUCAAAGCACUGUCUGCAGCUCAGUGACACAGCCUCUCAUCCUUCCUAAACUGAGUUGUCAAGCCAGCUGCCUAAUUAGCAGAUGGAAUUAAAGGUGGAAAAGCCCUCUAAGAUCAUCGAGUCCAGCCGCCCCCAAGCACUGCCAAGACCACCACUAACCAUAUCCACAUGCUUUUGAGCACUUCCAGGGAUGGCAGCUCAGCCACUUUCCUGGGCAGUCUGUUCCAGUGUCUGACCAACCUUUCCCCAGUAUACAGUCUCACCCCCCACCAGAAGUACAAUUUGAGGCCAUUUCCUCUUGGUCCUGUCUUUUGUUCCCUGGAGAGUAGAGCCUGACUCCCCCUUGGCUGCACCCUUCCAUCAGAGAGUUUUAGGGAGUGAAUGAGAAUGUGCUCUUCUCAUUCUAUCCCUGAGUUUUUCCAGGCUGAGCCUUCCCAGCUACCCCAGCCACUCCUCACCAGACAAGGCAGGUAGAGCACAGAACAAGAAAUGACCUCUGGUUCCCUUACAUUUAUUGUCCUGAGAUUGUAAAGGGUUGGAUUAACAAAUUCAAGAUAAUGAUUGACUUCCUGAAAAGUCAGUGUAUGUGGAUUGUGUGUAUAGACUCACUGAUGGGCAGUUGGAUGUGUCAUGGUAGCUGAAAAUAAUAUUUUGACAGUAUAAUGAAAUACCAAAUCAUUCCAGGAAUAUGGAUUUUUUAUGUAAAGGCACUAGUGCUCCUUUCAUGGUAAUACUCUUUUUGUGGUGGGAGAUGGCAAAUGCUAAGCAGGACUUAACCAUACAACCUGACAGCUGGGGAGUAAAAAAACAGAUUAGAGUGUAUCCUUUAAACUCCCUUUUUAGUAAUAUAAUGGGAGCAGUUAUGUGUUGCUGAUUCGAUGUUAUGAAGGACUUGGUGGUAAUAGAGUGUGCUUGGCCAAAGAAUAUUACAGUGAAGGGGAACUUUAUCUAGCUUUCUGUAAAUCACUACCUGAGAGAGCUGUGAGCUGGAAAAUAACUAUCAGAAUUCUCUUUGCUAAAUAAAUAGGAACUUUUGGUCAAAAGCUUAAAUAUAAACUGUUGUCUUUAAGAAGCUACCUGAGGCAGUUUGUAGGUUUUGGAAGGUCAGGAAGAUGCUUAAUAGAUCCAAGGAUGUUGGCAAUUUGAGUAAAAUCAGUUUGAGUGCUCAAAUUAGAUCAUGGGGCUGCAUUUGUGCCUGAUCCCCAUUCUGUUCCUCCCUAUUCAUUAAGAUACUAUUGUGCUUUAAAAUAAUUUUCUCUUCCAUGCUACUUAAUGAAAGGCUUGCUCAAACACUGUGCACUGGUAAAAAAGAAUAAGCUAUUCAAGUAGGAAAUACUUAAGCAUCAUCAAUUUUAAUGAAUACACUGAGAAAAAAAAAUUAUAUGCUUUUAUGUAGUUCUUGGAGGUAUGUAUGGAUAUCCUUAUGCAUGCAUGUCUGUUGCGGUGCGUUUGUAACACCACACGUCUAUAUUUCUGUCUAUCCAUACAUGUAUAUAAUUUAUAAAUAUUAUCUAUUUUGUGUCUUGGAGAAACCAGGUCUAGUGGAAGGUGAAGGAGGUUUUCAAGGUCCUUUCCCACCCAAACCUUUCCAUGAUUCUAUUUAAAUGAUCUGUUCAUUGAGAACUUCAUGGGUAAUAUUUAAUCUGAAUUCUGUGUUGUUGCUCCUCUCGCUGUUUUAUUGGACAAUCUGAUAUUUUACUAGGGCUGUUUUAAGAACAAAAUUUCACCUGUGAAAUAAUUCAGUAUUUUUGAAAUAUCUGAGUUUUUCUGCAGUUUUUGCCAUGCACUAAACGAGCAACAUAAAUAUUUGACUUGCGGGAGGUUUUGUUAAUGUUUGCAAUAAGCUCGCUGCUUUUUUUUCAGUCUGCUUUAUAGUAAGGAGGCAGUAGUGGAAAAUUCAGAGUAGUCAGACAAAACAGCUCAUGCUGGAUCCUCCGUGUCAUCUCUACCUCACACACAUCCAGUGCCUUGCCUGCUGGAGCUUUAGUUGUUGGAAUUACUGAACACUCCAUGUGUAAGAGAGAGGAGUAAGUCCUGUCCUGUUCCUGUCUUCCUGCUGAGCACAUCUUAGCAUAAGACCUCCCGGAAGAGAGCAGAUAAAGGAUAGCAUUCCUGUGCCUGCCAAAUCCAGGAACAUAUCACUGACUUGGACUUACAAACGCCUCCUUAUCGACAGUGGUCACCAUUUGUCUUAUUUCUCUGUUUCUGGGAAUACCUGCCUGAGUCCUUUAGCAGUUGUCUGACAUUGCUCUGGAUUUUUCCAGUAUUUCAGUCUCAGUUGUUCCUUUCAUUUUGAAUGCAGAAUAAUCACAGAAUGGUUUGGGUUGGAAGGAGCCUUAAAGCUCUUCCCAUUCUAACCCCCUGCCAUGGGCAGGGACACCUUCCGCUAGGCCAGGUUCCUCCAAACCCUGUCCAACCUGAUCUUGAACACUUCCAGGAAUGAGGCAGCCACACUCUCCCUUGGAAACUAAUACAAUAAACUCAAGUCCAACCAGGUGUUUGUUACCAUCUUCAUCAAUUUACAUUUAACAUAAAUAACUUACAUUGAAAUACCAAAAAAUUACUGAGAAUUAGCACUGUUUUCACAGAAAAUAGUUGCUUUGUUUAAUUAAAAAAACCAAACAACCAACUAGGACCAUCAAUCCUUUUAUCCCAUGUCCUGAUAAAUUGAAAUACUAUUUGCAAUAUAUGUGAUGGAUCUGACUUUCCUGGCUUGUUCCUCUCAAGCUUUUGUGAGUGAUCAAAUUUCAAACCCUGAGCUUCCUGCACCUAACAUUGUUUAUGAAAUCUAUGCUGAAAAUGCUAUAUUUAGGUAAUGCUGCUGCUGACCAAGCUGUUGCCUUUUUGUAUUAAUUUAGGAUACCCAUGGAUCCUCUUUUCUUGAAUGGUUUCCUUGAAGAGUUUUAUUCCAAUUUGAAGUUCUAAGCAUGGCACUUGGAAUUACCUUCUUGACCAGAUAGAGCUUUGCUUUUUUUUCCUGCACUUAAAAUAUUUCCUGCAAGUAGGAGCUUUUAAAUCACAUCUUCUAAAGCAUAAUGAAAAAACAGAAUACAACAGGCCGAAGAUGAAGUUAAGAAUGAUGUGAUUUUGUAAGCAAAGUAGUUUUGGGGGAGGCGGGAGCUGCUCCAAGCUGGAAUUCACUGUAAGAAGGAUCACAGCAGGUUUAUGCCAGUGCUUUGUUCUUGCACAGCCACAUGCUCACAUCUGCCUAUUAAGUCACUGCAGCAUUUUGGAAGCUGGGCUGGAAUAUUUGGUAAUCAGUUUUACAGCAGUGAGAGAGAUGAUAAUUUGCUUUUGUGCACAGUUUUGAAUGAAAUACUCAUUUAGUCACCGAAACACUGGAGCAGUAACAAUGUUUGCUUUUAGUUCCUGCUUUUGUUUCCUUGCUUUGUUUAUGGCUGAUCCUUGCAGAAGUUCUUUUAGAUCUACUUGAGACUGUCACUUUUCCUUCUUUUGAUUAAAAUAAAUAUUUGUUCGACAGAGAGGCAGGUUGCUUGCCAGGCUUUUUGGUGGAUGUGUGCUGCAUACAGAUGAUUCCAGGCAUGGUUUGGGCUUGAAUGGGAAAUGCUUGGGAUAUUCAGAACGUAAGGGCUUUGUCCUUAUUGCAGAGUUGUGACAUCAUUAGGGUUGUUAAGAGCCCUUAAUUGCACACAGAACAAGCUUUAUGUAGCAAUCUGAUAACCUAAAUUUGGGACAUUGGCAUAGUGGGGGAUUUGGAGAAUAAUUGAAAGAAAAUGGACUCUGUUUUGGGCUGAUAAUAAGUUUCCUAGUGCAUCUUGCAUGAUGAAGAAGAAUUUAAAUGUUUUACUGGCAAACUGAGCAAUAUUCCUGCUAAAGAGGGGUAGCUGAUCAGAACAGAUUGUGAGAAGUACUUAUUGGACACCCCAGGAUCUGGAAAAUAUUCCUGAUCCUGGUUGUGGCUUCACUUGCUAAAACAAAUUUCCUGCAGUGUCACAAGAUUCAGAAUUUUCAGUUCCCUGAAAAUGCAGUAGUGGAAUUAAGCUGGUUUAGGGAAACCAUGCUGACAGAGGUGGUCUGGGCAUUCCAGCCAAGGGUUUUCCAGUGUGUAAACCACCUUUUAUUCCUUGCUGUGCCUGCUGGGCUCACAGCUGUAGAAGUGAAAGCGCUGCAGUACACAAACUUAGCUUGGGUGUGCUCAGUGCAUGUUGCAAAAAUUUAAAUAGGGGGUUGUUGCUUUGUGUAGGUACAGCGUGUUACACAUCAUCUUUGGGGUGAAAAUUAUCCUUAAUGACCUUUACCGCGAGACAGUGCUGCUCAGCUUUGUGCAGGAUGUAUAAACACAGUUGUGAAAAUCCCAGAUUUUCUAUUCUUUGCCUUUUCCCUCAUGAUUUCAGAAACCUUCUUUUUUUUCUUUGCUAGCUUCUGUAAGCUGAAAGAAAAAAAAUAAGAAAAGUUGCGCUAGGAAAACACCCUUUGGAAGACUUUCUUAUUAGUGUUUGUAUUUCUUGAAAAUUUCAUAUUUAUCUCCAAGGUGGUGCUUUUCUACUCAAAGAAUAAGAAGCUUGGCACAGAUGAAUUAGCAUUUUUUUGUAAACUGCUUUUAUAAACUCAAAUACAGAAAGUGAGACGUAUUUUUUUAAUUCAGAAAAUUUAGGCUGGGUUUAAUAUUUUUUCAUGGCAAAGGGAAGGAAUGUCUUCAAUUACUUUGUGAUUAAAAGCUGUUUAGUUUUCAGUCAUUGCAAUGAAAAAAAAAAUACUCCUGCAGUGGGUUAAUUGUGUAUUGAGUGGGUUUAGGGUUUUUGUUUGUUUGUUUGGUUUUUGUUUGUUUUUUUUAGUUUUGUUUUUUCCCCUCCAUUUCCUUGUGCUUGUGUGUCAUUAUCUCUUUCCUGGCACAGUUUGGUCAUUUUCCACAUGUUGGUGUCACUGCUCCCAGAUAUUUUGAAUGUAAUUGCACUAUCUACAGAAAAUCUGAUUCAGGUUUACCCUGAGCACAGCUUUUAGAUUUCAUUGCUUGUUGUGAUCAAGAACGUGUUUGAGUUCCUCUAAAAUAAGCUUCUCAGGAUGGUUUUGUGAAGGUUUUUUGCAGCAAGGUGCAGCAUGUUUCCUGCCAGAGUUGUGCACCUGUCUGUUUAAUGAUGAAUUUGCACAGUCAAUCUCCCAUUAAUCCAGAGUGGAAAGUGUCACUUGAAUUUUAUAGUGAUUUCAGAGCUUAGAUCUCUUGUGUCUGCUCGCUACAUUGAUCUUGUGUGAAAUCAUCAAAGGUGAUGCUGCAAAGAUUUCCAGCCUUUACAAGACUUGAGUUUCAGAGUAGUGUGGAACUGAAGUGCUGACUGGGCAGGCCAGUGCUACAACAACAACAAAAAAACCCAAAACAACAAAAAACCCAAACAAACAAACAAAAAAACCCAAAAAACCAAAACAAAACAGGGAAAACUCCAGUAUUGUUUCCUAUUAAGGAUUUUAGUGCUGCUAGAAAAAAAGUGGAUACUACUUUGGAUACUGCUGUAUCCAGAUUGUGAGCAUACAUUGAAGUUGCUGGCUUGCUGGAAGCAAAGUAUUGAAUUCUAAAUAAUAUAGUGCGAAAUAAUUAGUUUUGAGGUCACUGGUGAUUUUAAUUUUAAUUUUUUUCAAGGGGAGAUCAGGAACACGCACAAUUGUUGGGCGAGUUGCUUUUAGUUUUGUUGAAAAAGUUGAAAUUUAUUGUUGUUCAAGAUACACUCUGUUUGCAUCUGCAUUUAUGUAUAGUUACUGCCUCCUUGUUUGACAGUGUGUCAGUCACUUUAGUUAAGGGAUUGAUUUAUUACAUUGAAACACAUAACAGGCACCUCUAUAAAUUUGGGUCAGUCAGUGUCUUUCUCACAAGCACAUGUUGCAGUGACUCUUUAAAGUUACUGGUUUUCAUUUUGGGAAUAGUAAUGGGUGUUUAAGUAUGCCCUCAUUCAACUUCUGGAGGAUGAAUCAUUUUGAGGAGGUGUUGAUGUGGUUCAAAGUCAAAACCAGGAUUUGACUUCCUGCCUAUGCACACUUAUUCUGAAACAUCCAUACUAAUAUUACUGGAACUUUAAAUUUUCUUGUGGAUACUGCUAAUAGUUUGUUAACUUGUUUUAUCUGAAUUUAUGUGAUGAACCCAAAGAAAACUCUGGAGCUGCUGAAAGCAUAUUAAACCAGUAAUUUGUGGAUCAUUUUCAGCUUUUCUCAGUACUUGAGCUGAUAAGAAUUUCUGGGACAGCAGGCAAAUGUCAGUACCAGCAGAAUUCACUUAUGUGAAUGGUACAAUAACAAUUUCUAUGCAAGUUUGAUGUUUGAAUAUGAGAGAACGGGAAUUUGGAUUUCUGGUAGAAACAGGAAUGUAUGGUCUGGCUGGAAAAGCUGAAAUGGCUCUAUAGCCUUUAUCUUUACUGUUCCCUUGAGAAUAGAUGAUCACAGACUUCAGGAAUCAAUACAGUUCAUCAUCUAAUUCCCUUGGUUCAGUUUCCGUUUAAAUUAAUUAGGACAAAUUAUUUAUAUGGUCUAAAGAUGUUCUGAUGAUAACUCUAUUUACAUAGGAAUUUGGAGGUUUGGAAGCAUAUUUUAAUGACAGUUUGGCAUGGCAACUGGCAUUCAAUUGUCUAUUCCGAGAAUAAUACUGCCCUGCAGAAGAAAUAUGGUUAAUGUUACUAUAAAUAUGCCUAAAUCAUCUUCACUGAGGCUGAUGAAAAAGGAUAUUGUGUAUUAAAAGUGAUGGAGUUUAAAUGUGAUCUUAAUUUCUCUAUUCAGCACUUACGGGAAUUUGUCAUGUGAUAUGGAAAGACAGGAAAUUACAAUGUGGAAAUUGUGUUAUCAGAUCAAAGCUGGUUGAGGCAUCAGAGUGGCUUCUGUGCCUGAACUCUGCUUGCUUGCAGUGCAGGAUGUGUGUGCAUUAGUCAGGACGUGGUGCUGGAGGAGGCAUCCUUUGCUGUAUUGCCACUGUCUAAAUCCCACUGAUUCUCCAGUAUUGUAAGGCACGUAGGAUUGAAGCAUGAGUGCAGACAUGAAGGUAUGGUGGCUCACGCUGUGUAGGUGUAGACCUGGGCUGCUUAAGCAGUGCCCUGUGGUAAGACAGGUUCUACAUGAGUUUCACCAGUGCCAGUGAGAUUGGCUGGGCUGCAGGUUCUCCCAGGGAACAUGGAGGGUGCACUUUCCCUUUUUCUUGUUAGGUUGAUGUAACUUCAUAUGUCUGUUCUACACUUUGCCAAGGGCAGAGGCACCUUCCACUAUACCAGGUUGUUCCAAGCCCCAUCCAACCUGGCCUUGGACGCUUCCAGGGAUAGGGCAGCCACAGCUGCUCUGGGCGCCCUGUGGCAGGGCCUUACACCCUCCCAGGGAAGAAUUUAUCCCCAAUAUCCCAUCUAACCCUGCCUGCAGUCAGUGGGUCAGCAUUCCCCCUUGUACUGUCAUUCUAUGUCCUUGUCCAAAGUCUCUCUCCAGCACUCUUGAAGCUGUAUUAGGUACUGCAAGAUGCAGGAAUUUCUUCCUGGAGCCUUCUCCAGGCUGAACAAACCCCAGCUCUCUCAGCCUCUAUCCAUAGGGUUCUUUGCUUUUUACCUGUGGAUUUGAAGAAGAAAUUCAGUAGGAGACAACCAUGUGUCUGUGUCUAUUGAUUUUUGUUUGCACUUGAAUUUUUCAUACAUUUCGUAUUGAUUUAAAGCUAUAAAUUUGCAGAAGUCUGAGCCCUUCAUGGCUAGGCUUUGUGGGGCUUUCUGGGCAUCAAGGCUGUCUUGUGUUUCUGUGGUAAGUUCAAUAAAUCUAUUUUUGUCAUUCACUGAAGGAAAUCUUUCUGUUCAGGUUUAGGGAGAUUAACAGGAUUCUACAGGCAUUACUGAAAUUAAUAUUUCCUUAGUGUCUUGUAUGUAACACACUGAAAAUAUGAAAGUACGUGGAUGGAGGCUGCUACCCAUAGAUGCUGGAGGAGAUAAACCACUAUGGAUGAUCUCUGUAGUAACUGUCAUAUCUGACAGUUGAACCUUGAAAGAAGAAAAAGCACCCAUUUUGAGGUCAGAAAGCACUGUGGAAAGUUUUAAAAUUCUCCUAAAUUAAACAUGUGAUAAGAGCAGUUAAAAGAUGCCAUGCCUGAUGGCCAUAGUGAGUGUUGGAAGUCCUUUGACAGGCUGGGCUGUUGAUCUCCUGAAGAUUAAUGGCAGGUCAGGACUGUGACUUGGCACAAGAUGCUUUCCCUUUAAUCUCCAAUUAAAUUAAAAAAGUGCCGGAUAGCUAUAAUUUUCAUGGGGUAAAAUAUAUACACACACAUAUUUUUCCCUUUCUCAUGACUGACUUGCAUUUCAGCAGAGGUUCUUCUCUAAUGACUUUGAGUCCUUUUAUAAGCUUUUUUUAUAAGUUGUGCAUGUUCAUUAUUAGGUCUUUAAAAACAAACUCUGGAAAAGUUUGGCCCUGGUGAGUUGUGUAUCACUGUAAUUUCUGCGAGGAGUGAAAAUAGUAGGAAUAGUAAGUUUUGAAAUUUUCUUUUUGGGUUUUCUUUUGGCAGCUACUUCUGUACAUAGUAUGUGUAAAACGUAUGUAAUGUAGGUAAAGCUCUACGAUUUCUGAGAUGUGGAGUCAAAGUAAUUAUUGUACAUGUUACUUAUAUUUCUUAAUAUAUGGUAUUCUAUUUAUUUAAGUAAUGGAGCGAAGGAGAAAAGAGAACAGGUCAUCAGAGUAAAAUAGUUGUACAAAGUAGUUUUGAUAUAUGUAAUAUGAAGUAUAUCAUGUAUCAUCUCAUCCUGAUCUUGGUAGCGAAGGUCCUACUGAUUAUACAGUAAAAUAUCUUUAAACAUUGCUGGCGCUGAAUACUGUUUGAGAUAUACCCAGACACACAGAGUAAACUGAACCCAAACUUUUCCGGUGUGGGAUUUUGAAAUUAAGCCCUGCUUAGGAUCUAAAAAUGUAAAUAAAAUGUUGUUAUGAGCUGCCUUUUGAGGAACCCUAUCCAUAGACUGCACAGGACGUGUUUGUUCUAUAUGGGCACUGAACUGAAGGUAGAUGGUGGCAAUAUGCCACCUGCAGUCUUUUUCCAGGGCAUCUUCAGAAAUAUUCCUGCAGGAGAGAAGGGGAGACUGAGGUCAGAGCUCCCUGUGAACUGCAGUUCCUCCUGAGGGGCAGCUCUGGUCUCUGUUCUCUGUGACCAGUGACAGGACCCGAGCCAAUGGCUGGAGCUGUGUUAGGGCAGGUUUAGGUGGAGAUCAGGGAAAGGCUCUUCCCCCAGAGGGUGGUCAGACACUGCCCAGGGAAUGGUCCCAGGGCUGCAAGAUCUCCAGGAACAUUUGGGCAAUGCGCUCAGGCACAGGGUGGGAUUGUUGGGGUGUCCUGUGCAGAGACAGGAGUUGGACUCAGUGAUCCUUGUCAGUCCCUGCUAACUCAGGAUAUUGUGUGAUUCCAUGUGGAAAUAAAACCAAACCCAGUACAGCUGUUUUUCUUGCUGUCCUUACUUACCGGUGAUACCUGUAGCAAACUAGUGGCAGCAAACUGCAACAGGAUUGAAAAUGGGGGAGGGAAAUUACUGUGCAUCACUUGGUCUGGUUUGGGGGUUUUCUUGGGUUUUUUUUUUUUUCCAAAGUCAUGGUUUGUACCUUGAGUUGUUUUCUGUGUGUUUUUGUUGAAGUUUCAGUUCAGAAGGGUUAUAGCACACUUCCCUCUCCAAGUGCAUUAAUACAGGAUAGAAUUACAGGACUGAUUUAUGAAGUGGAUAACAGCUGUCAUGCCAAAUUGAUUGGCACAAGGAGGAGCUUUCCAGCCCCUGCAGACAGGCUGGUGCUAUCAGACUGAUGCCAUCAGAGUCUUACCUGCCAAUCUCACCGUGCUUUUAGAGAGCUGUUUCCACACCAAGCUUCUGGAGAAUGGCCAGUCCUUUCCCAAGCUGGCUGUUAAGCUGCAGAGCCCAUCCCGAGCGCUGGAGGUGAGACCGUGGGUCACGUGUUUACGUGUGGUGUUACUUAGAGGCAUGGAGGGAGUUUGUAGGACUCCUAGUCAUAACAUUUGCUUUGUGUUGCUUCUAAAAUAGUCCAUGUUGUACUUUGUCCUGAUUAUUUGUAUACUGAUGGCACUCACAUUCACUGGUUCAAAUGAGAUUUUCUGCCUUUUUCAUUGCUACUCUUUUAAUCUUAAUAUUUGAUUAGAUUUUCAGAAGUUUUAUUGUAUCUUUUAUAUCCUUAAUUCACAUUUAAAACCUUUUCUUCAUCUAAUUAUAAUUUAAUUUUGCCCUUGAGCACAUGUAUGGAUAAUCUUUUAAGAGCAGUUUUAAAACUAGGGUGAAGCAAGUGAAGAGCUAAUCAUAGAAAAUAACAUUAGUUGAGUCUUUGAUUUGUGCAGUAGUGAUUAACAAAAUGGAGGGAAAGAUGAUCUGCUAUCUUUAGACCUAUCAGUCUGACCUUGAGAUCAAAAUUUAAGAAUGUGUUAAAGGAAAGAAUGAUAGUACACAGACAAAAAUUGCUAGGUAGGUUUUCCAUUUGUAAGUGAAACUGUUUAAAAUACAAUAUAUAUGUAUGUUGGAUGUUUCUUAAGCAUCGUUUAGGAUGAAGGCACCUGUAAGAGAUAAAUAACUGCAAUAUGGGCUUUGGAAGCUUCUUUGAUUCAAUGGCACCACCCAGAGCAGGACUGCACUGCAUGACCUAUGUAUGAAGAACUUUUCACCUGUGUGUGGUAGUCAGGAAAUCUGGAGAGUUUUAUCUUUCAUUCUGCCAUUUCUAUUGACAUAGAACUAAUCAGGCUCCUUCUCCUAUUGCAGGUAUGGAAGGGGAGCAAUUGGUGAGGUGUUGGACAGGAGGAUAAGUGUUAACAGAGGGGCCAAGGGAGGGGAUUCUGCCCCACUGAGGUGAGACUUGACCUGCAGAGCUGCCUCCAGCUCUGGGCCCCCAGCACAGGAAAGACCUGGAGCUUUUGGAGCGAGUCCAGAGGAGGCUCAGAGGGAUGGAGCAGCUCUGCUAUGAGGAAAGGCUGAGAGAAUUGGGAUUAUUGAGUCUGGAGAAGACUAGGCUCUAGGAUGAACUAAUUGUGGCCUUCUAGUAACUGGAAGGAGCUGACAAGAAAUGUAAAGAGACUUUGGACAAGGAUUUGGCGAGACAGAAUGAGGGGGAGUGGCUUCAAACAGUGACAGUGUUGAUUUAGAUUAGAUGUAAGGAAGAAACGUUUUAUGAGGAAGGUGGUGGGGUAGCAGAGGUUGCCCAGAGAAGCUGUGGCUACUCCAUCUCUGGAGGUGUCCAGGAUCAUGUUGGAUAGAGCCCAUGGUGGGGGUUUGUAAUUGCAUGGGCUUUAAGCUCCCUUCCAACCCAAAUAAUUUAAUGGUUCUAUUGUGAGGCAAAGAUGUAGCUAGCACCUGACUCAGCUGCCAUAUUUAUAUAAUAAAUUUUUUUUUACUUUGAUGACUUUGUUCUCUUUCAACUUUAUUGGUGAGUGAGUGUUUCUCACAAUUUGGGGAAUUGUCUGGGAGACUUGACCUCUGACUCUCCUGAGUAUGACAGUAGGAAUAGGGGAAGGCACACCCUGCUGAUUCUAGCAGCCCCUGACAUGGAGUAUCUUCUUACGAAAUGUUGUUUGGAUUACUUUAUCUUAGAAGGGAGGAAAGGCUGCCAGUUCCUGAAACAAAUGUCCUGUAUCUGAAAAAUUAUUUGCAGGCGAUAAUACUCUCUUUUGCAGAUCUUAGAAGAAAGGGGUUGUUGCCCCACACAUCAGUCCUGGACAUUUACAUACAUCAGGUUAAUUGCUAGUGUAGUAGAAGAAAUGCAGGUGAUCAGAAUGCCAGUGAACCCAAACCUCGCAGCUGCUAGUCAAAGAAUAGGAGCCCAGAAGAUCGUGGUCCUAAGGAGGGGAGAUCAGAAAAGAGCAAAACCAGAAGAUGACCUACAUCUUACUUUACAGAACCUAGAGCAAAGCUAUGCACCUCAGGAGGAGACAAAGACCUAAAACUUUGGAAUAAGCCUAGCUCAGCACAAACAUGCGUUUGCAAAAUAACAGGUCUGGAGUGUAACUGUUACAUUUGAAUAGAACCAUUUUGCAAACACGGCCCAGCCCACACUGGCCAGACAGAUCACCAAACCAAGGGCCUCAGCAAAAAGGUGGUAAAUAAAAAGCGGGUGGAUUGUGAGGGGUAAAAUAAUGUUUUGCUUCAGCCAUAAGAAUGUAUACUUGGUGUCACGUAGGCAGAGAUGUAGCUAGCAGGAGGCUAGGCCUGAGGAGGGAGUGUGGCAGGGAGGAAAAGGGGAGUUAACUGAUGUUUGUGCCAGGGGAGAGAAAGGGGAGAGUGGAGGAGCUGUUGGUUUGAGUGCAGUAGGGCCAGGAAGAAUGUACAUUCCUGGGUAUCCACGCUGUGGGAGAGGGGACAGGGACACCCCUGGCUAGGGUAGGGCAUAAAGGUUUGUACAUUUCAGGGGGAGGUGUGCCUCCUCGGUGAGAGGCACCUGUCACAGCUGCCGUGUUUAUAUUAAUAAAUAGUUUUGCUUUGAUGACUUUGUUCUCUUUCAGCUUUAUAGGUGAAUGAGUGUUUCUCACACUGUUUAAGAAAGGGAGAGGGUAGGAAAUUGGAACUGAAACCUGAUGUAGUAUUUUCAUUCAUGACCUGGGUAAAGUGAAGAGAUGAGCAUUUCUUACAUCACUGAUGAUGUCACUGUGCAGCCUGGGUGCAGAGAUCACACCAUCAUCUGGGCAGAGCAGGGGGAACAGACUGACAGAACGGGGCUGAGGUGGAAUCCCACUCACGGGGAUUUACAGAAAAAGCCUGUUAAGAUGGAGUUACAUAAAAAAAAAAGACCCAGAAACAGUAAUUGGUUCUUUGAAUGGUUGUUACUUGUCAGCAUGAUGCAUUUGGGAAGACAAAGGAAAAAGGCAGAGAAGAGAAGGAGGAAAAGUGGUAAGUGUGGUUUGAAGCGCUUGUAGGAGUAUCUCCAGGGUAGUAUCAUCAGUCUCUGAUCAAUUGGUUUCUUUUUAAUCAUGUAUCUGCAAAGAGGAUUUUUCUGGUUUUGUUUUUAAGGGCUCUGGCUGUCAUUUCUCUUUAAGUUUUUAUGUCUGUUGAUCAGCAAAUGCUCUUGGCCUGCAGCUGUUUCUUACCAGUGUAAGAACUGGUGGUGUUUAUUCCACAGUGCUUCAUGCGUGCUAAACUGAAAUUACUGUUUCAAUUACUGAAGGUAAUUUUUAAAUGGAACAAGUCCUCAUGUUUAAUCCAGAGACGUUGAUGAUUCACUCCAGCACCAGUCAUUCCACAAUCCUUUGCAUCUUUCCCUCUACAGCCCAGUGACAUCUACUCAGAUUAGAAACUGGAAGUCAGUAACUGUAGAACAUUUUGUCAUGCUAUCAUCCCUUUAAAAACCUAUGAAGUUGUUUUAGAAAUAUUUUUUAUUGAUAUUUUUGUUACACAUUGCUCUCCCGGGAGCAGGUGGAUACUUUAUUUCUUAAUUGACACCCUGUCAGGUUUUUCUCAAAUAUAAAAAAUACUUUUAUAUUAAAAUUUAACUGGACAUAUAAAGGUUUGUCACACUCUUAAUAUAGAACAGCAGCCUCAAAUGGAAUAAAUUAGAGCAAAACAAUGUGUCUAUGUUAUCACAUUUCAUGGAGAGCUGCUGACAGCAGAGCAGGCUGGUGGUGGGGGGGGGGUGGUCUCCCCCUCUGCUUUCUGUCUGGAGCUGAAGUUCACCCCAAACCCACUGGUUGAGGAAUCCUGACAAUCGUGACUCUCUGGGAGCUUCACAAGGCUUCUCAGGUGUUCUUCUAUAUAUAAAAGUAACUUGCAGGAAGUAAUAUUUUUUCCAUUGCUUACAAUGUUGUGAUGUUUGUUUUUUGUUUGGUGUGUUUUGUUGUAGGUUUUUUUUUUUUUUGAAGGUUUUAUGUUUCCAGCUUUCUGCUGUGAAUUCUGUUCUCCCAGCUUUAAUGCCUUGUGUGAUGUGUAGUCACUGUUUGUGUGAUGAAGUUUGUGCUUAGAGGAUUGAAACACUAAAUUCAACCAUUGUAUCUUUCAAUUAUUGCAAAAAUUCAGCUAAAACCUCAUGUAGAACAUUGUAUUUUUGGUGUGGAAUGGUGGAACCUGUGCAGAAGUGAUGUUGAAGUUUUUAUGUGAGAUGUCUGUAAGGCAUGUUUGCAAAUUACUCUUUUUUCCUCCCCUAUAUUUAUUUACAUAAAUGACUUUUGAUUUGUUUUUGGGGUUAAAAAGUGGUUGUUUUUAAUGCAGUGCUGAAGUGAUACUGUUAGUAACAUUGCAAAAAUUUUGCAUUAACAUUUAAUUUUUAUGUAAUGCUUCACUACACUGAGUCUUUCAUGAAAUCCUCCUCUUGCCAGUGCCUCUGUGUUAGGGAGUUGUGGGAAUGUGACUGGGAUAGGCAGGAUGCAAAGUGCUCUGCAGCAAAUUAGUGGCUGGGUGAGGUUGUUCAUCUGGCAGAGCAGCCUGUGCUUAUUGACAAGUCACAGCACUGCUCAUGUAGAAAUAAUUUUGUCUCUAGAGAAAAGAGGAUGGAGAGCCCUGGGAAAAUGUCUGCUCUUGGGUUCAGUGUGGGGCAGUGAGGAUCACAGGCAAGACACAGCUUGGACCAUACUCCUAAGGAAUGCAGCAGCCAUGGCUUUUGUCCAUGAGGGAACUACUUAUUGAUCAUUAUGGAACCAACAUUCACCCCGUGAAAUCCUGUGUCUCGCUGAGAUAGCAAAUAUGUCAUGCACAUAGUAACUAAAAUUAUUUGAGUUCCAAAGCAGCAGCAAAUUUAGUACAAACUGUGCAGGACUCCUGUUUCCCUUUGAUAUUUAAGGGGUUGGUGUGAAAGGUCCUGUGGGUGAGUUUAAUAAUUGUCUUUGCCUGUAAAGCCCUGAUGGCUUUCAAGGGUUUUCUGUGUUUGCUGUCUGUGAAACACUUUUGGAUUCAGCUUUAAAGCUGUUGCCCACACAUAGAAAAUAGUAGCUUUAGUUAAACAUUGAAAUUAAUGGUCCAAAUCCUAAAAAUGAGCAUUCAAUAUUUAUCAAUUCUUGCCUUCUCUGUCUCUGAAAUACCAGACAGUUAUUUAGCAAGAGGGAGAAACAAAAAAAAAAAAAAAAGAAAACAAAAACAAACAAAAAAAAAAACCCCAAAAUAA